UCUGGCAGUGAUGAUGCACUUGCCCUCACUGAGAACGUGGUUCUGUAAUGAGAGCUUUUCUUACGUAUGACUCUUCUGAGCCAGA